AUAGAAUUUGACAUUCUGGUUAUUUUUAUUUUUACCCAUCGACAAAAACGCCAAACAACAUUUUGUAUAAAAACUUUUCGGCGUUUUAUAUAUUUUUUCUUUAUACAAAGUGUGCUGCGUUAUUAUCGAUUUUGACAAUCGAUGCGCAAUUGGUAAUUUACUUUUUGCUCGGCACAGCGUGCUUUCUAUGUGCUUUAUAUAAUCGCGGCGAGUGCACAAUAUAAUUGUCAGGUGAAUGCUGCAUUUUGUGUGGCUAAUAACAUUUUGUAUAUAUUAAAUUGCAGCAUUUUAUUUAUAAAACUUUUUUCGAGCAUUUUCGACUUCGCCCCAAACGAGCG